CCGUUGCCAGCCCGCUCAAGAAACUUAAAGGAAUUGACGGGGCCCGCACAAGCGGAGAGCAUGUGGUUUAAUUCGAUGAUACGCGAGGAACCUUACCUGGGCUCGAACGUAAGAUGACUGUAGGUGAAAGCUUACAUCUCUUCGGAGCAUUUUUACGAGGUGCUGCAUGGUUGUCGUCAGCUCGUGCCGUGAGGUGUCGGGUUAAGUCCCAUAACGAGCGCAACCCUACCUUUAGUUGCCAUCAGGUAAUGCUGGGGACUCUAAAGGAACUGCCUACGCAAGUAGUGAGGAAGGCGGGGAUGACGUCAAAUCAGCACGGCCCUUACGUCCAGGGCUACACACGUGCUACAAUGGCCGAUACAGAGGGCAGCUACCUGGUGACAGGAUGCAAAUCUCCAAAGUCGGCCUCAGUUCGGAUCGGAGUCUGCAACCCGACUCCGUGAAGUUGGAUUCGCUAGUAAUCGCGCAUCAGCCAUGGCGCGGUGAAUACGUUCCCGGGCCUU
rnacentral:rRNA from 1 species